rnacentral:rRNA from 1 species
UACGGAGGGUGCAAGCGUUGUUCGGAAUCAUUGGGCGUAAAGCGCGUGUAGGCGGCUUGGCAAGUCGGUUGUGAAAGCCCGGGGCCCAACCCCGGAACUGCAUCUGAAACUGCCUGGCUAGAGUCCCGGAGAGGAAGGCAGAAUUCCCGGUGUAGGGGUGAAAUCCGUAGAUAUCGGGAGGAAUACCAGCGGCGAAGGCGGCCUUCUGGACAGUGACUGACGCUGAGACGCGAAAGCGUGGGGAGCAAACAGG